ACUAGCAUAUCAAUAAGCGGAGGAAAAGAAACCAACAGGGAUUGCCCUAGUAACGGCGAGUGAAGCGGCAACAGCUCAAAUUGAAAUCUGGCGUCUUUGGCGUCCGAGUUGUAAUUUGCAGAGGGCGCUUUGGCAUUGGCAGCGGUCCAAGUUCCUUGGAACAGGACGUCACAGAGGGUGAGAAUCCCGUACGUGGUCGCUAGCCUUUACCGUGUAAAGCCCCUUCGACGAGUCGAGUUGUUUGGGAAUGCAGCUCUAAAUGGGAGGUAAAUUUCUUCUAAAGCUAAAUACUGGCCAGAGACCGAUAGCGCACAAGUAGAGUGAUCGAAAGAUGAAAAGCACUUUGGAAAGAGAGUUAAAAAGCACGUGAAAUUGUUGAAAGGGAAGCGCUUGCAGCCAGACUUGCCUGUAGUUGCUCAUCCGGGUUUUUACCCGGUGCACUCUUCUAUGGGCAGGCCAGCAUCAGUUUGGGCGGUUGGAUAAAGGUCUCUGUCACGUACCUCCUCUCGGGGAGAACUUAUAGGGGAGACGUAAUGCAACCAGCCUGGACUGAGGUCCGCGCAUCUGCUAGGAUGCUGGCGUAAUGGCUGUAAGCGGCCCGUCUUGAAACACGGACCAAGGAGUCUAACAUCUAUGCGAGUGUUUGGGUGUCAAGCCCGAGCGCGUAAUGAAAGUGAACGGAGGUGGGAACCUUUCGGGGUGCACCAUCGACCGAUCCUGAUGUCUUCGGAUGGAUUUGAGUAAGAGCAUAGCUGUUGGGACCCGAAAGAUGGUGAACUAUGCUUGAAUAGGGUGAAGCCAGAGGAAACUCUGGUGGAGGCUCGCAGCGGUUCUGACGUGCAAAUCGAUCGUCAAAUUUGGGCAUAGGGGCGAAAGACU
rnacentral:rRNA from 1 species